rnacentral:tRNA from 1 species
GCCUGGAUGGCUCAGUCAGUAGAGCAUGAGACUCUUGAUUUCAGGGUCAUGAGUUUAAGCCCCACGUCAGGCA